rnacentral:rRNA from 1 species
UACGGGGGGGUGCGAGCGUUGUCCGGAAUCACUGGGCGUAAAGGGCGCGUAGGUGGUUUGAUAAGGGUGUGGUGAAAGUCCGGAGCUCAACUCCGGAUCUGCCGUGCCGACUGUCAAACUCGAGGGCUGUAGAGGCAGACGGAAUUCCGGGUGUAGCGGUGGAAUGCGUAGAGAUCCGGAGGAAGACCGGUGGCGAAGGCGGUCUGCUGGGCAGUUUCUGACACUGAUGCGCGGACAGCGUGGGGAGCAAACAGG